rnacentral:lncRNA from 10 species
CAAACCCAACCCUCUGAGCCUGUGGUUUCCGCAAGUACUGGGGUUAGAGUCAUGAGGGAAGUGUGGGAAAAUGUGGAGUGUCAGUCAAGAGGCAACACUAGGAGGCAAGGAAUCUGCAUUUCUUUCAGACCUUGGCAGAGAGCGCCCUGGGAAAUGCGGAUAUAGAAGGUCAGGAGAACAUCUCUCCUGGUUAUACAGCAUUCCAGGUGGGCUUUCAUGUGGUUGAGGAUAAUAUCAUUAGCACCAAAGGUGAAAAUCCGUGGAAGCUCAUCUUAUUUCAGCAGAAGAGUAGGAUGGGCCUUGUGGCACGAGUAAGCCAAACAAGGGAAAGGCAUUCACCAUCAAUUGACUCCUCAUCUGUUUUUAAGAGGGAAAUCUGAGUUUUCAAGGAAAGCCGAAUACAGUUGCCAAGUUGCCAGUCAAAGAAACAAUGUCAACACCUGCUCAUAGAGAUGGAAUUCCUAACCCGGAAUAUUGCCCUUGAAUUACAACGAGAAAAAGAACACUUCUUAUUCCUGUAGCACCUCUUCAAGUGAGAUGGCAGACCACCUCAGGAUGGAAAUGUAUUUCUUCAUCCCCCUCUCUACUUCCCUGUGACCUCCUGCAAAUAAGGGAGAGACAAAGAGAAGAGCAGAAGAACAGAAGAAUGGAGUGGCAAAGAGAAGAGAAGGAGUGACUGAACAUUGACAAGACUUUGGUUGGGGAUGGUCAGAGAGGAGAUUAGCUGCUAGACGGCCACACUGCGGAGAAAGAUCAUUUUCCCACUCCAUCCCCCUUCCAGCUCCCCAUCCAUCUCACCAAGAGCCAGCUCCACCACUCAAUAAAAC